rnacentral:rRNA from 1 species
AACGAACGCUGGCGGCAGGCCUAACACAUGCAAGUCGAACGCCGUAGCAAUACGGAGGUGGCCAGACGGGUGAGUAACACGUGGGAACGUACCUUUCGGUUCGGAAUAACUCAGGGAAACUUGAGCUAAGUACCGGAUACGUGCGAGAGCAGAAAGAUUUAUCGCCGAAAGAUCGGCCCGCGGUCCGAUUAGCUAGUUGGUGAGGUAAUGGCUCACCAAGGCGACGAUCGGUAGCUGGUCUGAGAGGAUGAUCAGCCACACUGGGACUGAGACACGGCCCAGACUCCUACGGAGGCAGCAGUGGGGAAUAUUGGACAAGUGGGCGCAAGCCUGAU